GAGCUAUAGCGCCCUGCCUGUUCUGGGCUUCUUGCAGAGCCUCUUCAGCUGCAGAGAAGCAGCUCUCCUUUCUCCAAGUCCAGAGCCAACAGGACGAAUAAUGAAGCUGUUGGGAAGAUUUACUGAUAAUACAUGUAAAGGGUCUAGCACAUUUUAGGAGCUCAAGGUUGGUGCCUUCCCUUUUUCUUUACUCUGAACCGGAUAUGAGGCCUUGAGAAAGAAGAGAGGCGCUUGCAAAACGAGGUGAGGUCUCAGGCACAGUGGCUCACGCCUGUAAUCCCAGCACUUUAGGAGACCGAGGCGGGCGGAUCAUGAGGUCAGGAGUUCGAGACCAGCCUGGCCAACAUGGUGAAAGCCCGUCUCUACUAAAAAUACAAAAAUUAGACGGGCAUGGUGGUGGGCACCUGUAAUCCCGGCUACUUGGGAGGUUGAGGGAGGAGAAUCGCUUGAACCCAGGAGGUGGAGGUUGCAGUGAGCCGAGACUGCACCAUUGCACUCCAGCCUGGGCAAUAGAGCGAGACUCCGUCUCAAGCAAGCAAGCAAGCAAACAAACAAAAUAAAAAACGAGGUCAAGUUUCAAAAGAUGUCACCCCCAACCUGGCAAAACUUCUCCUCAAGCCCUGUCGUUCCACUCUUGUCCGCCAGGAGGAGAAAAGGUUCCCUCGAAGGACGUCUUUGCUUGCGCGUUCACGGAGCCUUGAGAACGAGUGGCCGAGGGGACCCCUGCGGCCCUGCGCGCCUGAGCUAGGACAAACUGAUACUCAGCGGAAGGAGUCCUGAGAAUAAAGAAGUGCAGAAAAUGGCUGGUGUCAGUCCACAGAUGACCAGACUCGUUCACUGGGACAUGUAAGACAUCCUUUAGGGGUUUGCACAAAUAGCUGGUGAGUACUUUGUCUGGAUUUGUGGGUCUACACUGAUGAGUGGGGCCAAGAGCCAGAGACACAGAAGCUAUGUUUUUGUUUGUUUGUUUGUUUGUUUUUUGAGAUGGAGUUUCACUCUUGUUGCCCAGGCUGGAGUGCAA
rnacentral:lncRNA from 1 species